GGCGAAGCACCAGGAACUCGCCCCACGUCAAUCAACCCCUGUAAGGUCAGCGAAGACUCAUUGCUGCCAAAGGAAAGUUAAAUGCUUUACAAAUGGCCUGGAUAAAUAUUAGCUUUCAAGAGAUAAGGAGGACUUAGUCGGGGGUGGCAACCAAGUUCAUUCCCACAGAACAAUUAGAGCACUACUUCAGAUACAACCCCCAAAAGAAGAGGGAUAACACGGUGUAGAACACGGUGUUUCGACCCGAAACGUCAGCUUUUCUGCUCCUCUGAUGCUGCUUGGCCUGCUGUGUUCAUCCAGCUCUACACCUUGUUAUCUCAGAUUCUCCAGCAUCGGCAGUUCCUACUAUCGCUGUACCAAAAGAAGAGGGUUUAUUUGGAUGUGCAAGUGUGAAGUCUUCCUGUCUGUUCAGUCUUAAGUUCUAGCUCGAUUAAACAUCUUUAAAUUCGCGAAUUUAUUUAAAAAAAGUUUCUUCUGGACAUAGGCCCUAGUGAUAUUUUUUAGCUAUUUUGUUUUGCAACGCUUUUAUAUCGUUGGUUUGAUUUAUGGUUAGGGAUCAACGUUGGAAAAUACAACAUGAAUGCUAUUGUCACGAUUCAAAAAUUACAGAAACAAUGUCGUAAGCAACGGUUCCCCUGCGUGAGUUCUCUUCAGUAUCAUGGCAGCAAUUAGUUUCAAUUGAAUUCAGUGCCCCAAUCAAGCAAAAUGAUCAAACUCGAGUCCAAUUCCUGAUUCAUAUUUCAAUGUACCCUGCCCAAAAGUACAGAUGAAGAUUGGCCAGUGACGAAAAAGAUCAUGCUUGAUUGCAAUGACCCCAACCCAACGUUGAACAUCUUGAAAUCGAACCACUGUAUUGACCGCCGAUUAUAGUUGACUCAGACUUCGAAAAGCUAAAACAGGAGAUAGGCUGGAACUGUAGAGUUGUAAAUUAAGGUAAUUCACUGCCUAUAGGAACUGGAAAGAAAUUCUGUAUUCCUACAGUGCCCAUUUAACUCAGCACCUGUGCUACUGUCAGGUUUUAAAGUCACACUGCAUACCAUGAAGAACUGAACAACGUACUGCAAACACACUUUUUCAGUAUUGGAAGAGUAGUUCAAGUGACGUGUGAUAUUAGUUUUUGGAGUGG